GCCGCGGUAGCUCAGUCGGUAGAGCGUUCGCCUGAAGAGCGAAGCGUCGAAGGUUCGAUCCCUUCCUGCGGCA
rnacentral:tRNA from 1 species